rnacentral:rRNA from 1 species
CAGUCGCCGCGGUAAUACGUAGGUGGCUAGCGUUGCUCGGAAUGACUGGGCGUAAAGGGCGCGUAGGCGGAUGGCACAGUCAGAUGUGAAAUUCCCGGGCUUAACCUGGGGGCUGCAUUUGAUACGUGUUGUCUAGAGUGAGGAAGAGGGUCGUGGAAUUCCCAGUGUAGAGGUGAAAUUCGUAGAUAUUGGGAAGAACACCGGUGGCGAAGGCGGCGACCUGGUCCUUUACUGACGCUGAGGCGCGAAAGCGUGGGGAGCAAACAGGAUUAGAUACCCGCGUAGUCCCUGUCUCUUAUAC